rnacentral:misc_RNA from 1 species
GUAGGUGAACCUGCGGAAGGAUCAUUAUUGAAACUUCAUCCGGGGCGCCGCGGCACUCAGCACCGGUGGAAACGCCGUGUUGCGAGGGCCGUGCGUGCACUCGUCCAAACCAAACCCCUGUGAACUUUUCGGGAGGGUCUGGGUUAACGCCUGGGCCGUUCCGCUUAUACAAACACUUUUUUAAAAGAAUGAACUGAAGGCGGUC